rnacentral:lncRNA from 1 species
AAGAACCACCACAUCCUUCCUUUGUGUCUUGGGGUGAGGCGGGGAGACUUUGCAUCUGCUCAGACUGUGAUCUCAGAGCUGAUUCGUCAGAGGGAGAGAGGAAAAGAUUUAUACAUUGAAAAGCAUGACUGUCAAGCAGAGCUGAAAAGGAUAAAACCAGCCAAUGGAGAGGGAAACGUGAAAUUUCGUCAUGAUUGCUCUAUGUCAUAAAAACUCUUAUGUACGGUGUCCAGAGGCAAAUGAUGUAUGGAAACAACAAAUUACGUGGAAUGUUUAUGUGUUGAACUCUGUUUGGAUUCUGAAAAGCAUCCCAUGGGUGUUCGGAUUUCCUGUAAACCAACAAGCGGCCCCCCUCCUUCCCUUCACCACCGCCUUCCCUUGGAUGAGAGCAUGAUAGUAUGAAACGCAUCCAAGUUUUCCAUGUGAGCUGACAGGGGCUUUAGAUUUCCAGAGAAAGGUGGAUAGCAGAAAUCACGCAUGUGAAAAGCAGCCUGAACCACCCUCCAUAGCUCAUUACAAUAAAGGCAAUUCUCCUGGCCUUCA